CCUACGGGAGGCAGCAGUGGGGAAUAUUGGACAAUGGGGGGAACCCUGAUCCAGCCAUGCCGCGUGUGUGAAGAAGGCCCUCGGGUUGUAAAGCACUUUCAGUGAGGAAGUACGCCUGGUGGUUAAUACCCAUCGGGAAAGACAUCACUCACAGAAGAAGCACCGGCUAACUCCGUGCCAGCAGCCGCGGUAAUACGGAGGGUGCGAGCGUUAAUCGGAAUUACUGGGCGUAAAGCGCGCGUAGGUGGCUUGAUAAGCCGGUUGUGAAAGCCCCGGGCUCAACCUGGGAACGGCAUCCGGAACUGUCCAGCUAGAGUGCAGGAGAGGAAGGUAGAAUUCCCGGUGUAGCGGUGAAAUGCGUAGAGAUCGGGAGGAAUACCAGUGGCGAAGGCGGCCUUCUGGACUGACACUGACACUGAGGUGCGAAAGCGUGGGUAGCAAACAGGAUUAGAUACCCGGGUAGUC
rnacentral:rRNA from 1 species